rnacentral:lncRNA from 1 species
AUCGUUACUCAUAAAUUUACAAGGGCUAUUUUUAGUAUACGCAACCGGAUCUAUUAAAUCUGAUCAAAUCAGAUUAGCAAAUGACAGCGAUAUUUAAUGAAUCACACGGUUAUUCCACCUUACACACGAAAAACUAAAAGUUCAGUAGUAAAAUAUGCACGAAAAUCAAUCUUAAGGUAGGAGGAUGAAUAGUAAAUUUGAGACUCGUGCCCUCGUCUCGGGGUUUAAAAUAAGUAGGUUUAUGGAGGGUUUCUAAGGCCAACACUACAGGCAUGUGCUAGAUGUCUUCAACCUACUAAUAGCACAACAACCUACUUAUGUCUUUAAAAAUAACGACAAGGAAAAGAACAAUCUAUACCUAAGAUAUUUAUCUAUCAUAUAUCAUAUCAGCCUACUUUUGUCUUCUUAUCAUGACUAACUAACAAAAAUCAAUUGGUGUUUGGAAGCACAUCAAACUCAUAACAUACCAUACCAUGCCCUACCAGUAUGUCAAACCUGUAAUUAUGUUGAAACUUCCCCAUUGCUUUUCCAUUUUUGCCCUCCGAAGUCUUCUCUCUCUUCAUCCUACUCAAAACCCCCUCCUCCCCCUCUUGAAAUCCAAUGAUCCAAC